GUGGGGAAUCUUGCGCAAUGGGCGAAAGCCUGACGCAGCCAUGCCGCGUGGAUGAUGAAGGUCUUAGGAUUGUAAAAUCCUUUCACCGGUGAAGAUAAUGACUGUAGCCGGAGAAGAAGCCCCGGCUAACUUCGUGCCAGCAGCCGCGGUAAUACGAAGGGGGCUAGCGUUGCUCGGAAUUACUGGGCGUAAAGGGAGCGUAGGCGGACAUUUAAGUCAGGGGUGAAAUCCCGAGGCUCAACCUCGGAACUGCCUUUGAUACUGGGUGUCUUGAGUGUGAGAGAGGUGAGUGGAACUCCGAGUGUAGAGGUGAAAGUCGUAGAUAUUCGGAAGAACACCAGUGGCGAAGGCGACUCACUGGCUCAUUACUGACGCUGAGGCUCGAAAGCGUGGGGAGCAAACAGGAUUAGAAACCCGAGUAGUCC
rnacentral:rRNA from 1 species